AGGGGAAGUCGCGCUAUCGCGAGCGGGGUACGGAGGUCUUACUGUGAGCGUCAAGCCAGCUAGGAACUUCAUACCAUGCUCGCUAUGGCAGACGACACGU
rnacentral:pre_miRNA from 1 species